UGGGGAAUAUUGCACAAUGGGCGCAAGCCUGAUGCAGCCAUGCCGCGUGUAUGAAGAAGGCCUUCGGGUUGUAAAGUACUUUCAGCGGGGAGGAAGGGAGUAAAGUUAAUACCUUUGCUCAUUGACGUUACCCGCAGAAGAAGCACCGGCUAACUCCGUGCCAGCAGCCGCGGUAAUACGGAGGGUGCAAGCAUUAAUCGGAAUUACUGGGCGUAAAGCGCACGCAGGCGGUUUGUUAAGUCAGAUGUGAAAUCCCCAGGCUCAAACUGGGAACUGCAUCUGAUACGGGCAAGCUGGAGUCUCGUAGAGGGGGGUAGAAUUCCAGGUGGAGCGGUGAAAUGCGUAGAGAUCUGGAGGAAUACCGGUGGCGAAGGCGGCCCCCUGGACAAAGACUGACGCUCAGGUGCGAAAGCGUGGGGAGCAAACAGG
rnacentral:rRNA from 1 species